CAGUCGCCGCGGUAAUACGGAGGAUGCGAGCGUUAUCCGGAUUUAUUGGGCGUAAAGGGCUCGCAGGCGGUUUCUUAAGUCUGAUGUGAAAGCCCCCGGCUCAACCGGGGAGGGUCAUUGGAAACUGGGAAGCUUGAGUGCAGAAGAGGAGAGUGGAAUUCCACGUGUAGCGGUGAAAUGCGUAGAGAUGUGGAGGAACACCAGUGGCGAAGGCGACUCUCUGGUCUGUAACUGACGCUGAGGAGCGAAAGCGUGGGGAGCGAACAGGAUUAGAGACCCGCGUAGUCCCUGUCUCUUAUAC
rnacentral:rRNA from 1 species